CCUACGGGUGGCAGCAGUGAGGAAUAUUGGUCAAUGGACGAGAGUCUGAACCAGCCAAGUAGCGUGAAGGAUGACUGCCCUAUGGUUUGUAAACUUCUUUUAUAUGGGAAUAAAAUGUUCCACGUGUGGGAUUUUGUAUGUACCAUAUGAAUAAGGAUCGGCUAACUCCGUGCCAGCAGCCGCGGUAAUACGGAGGAUCCGAGCGUUAUCCGGAUUUAGUGGGUGUAAAGGGAGCGUAGGUGGAUUGUUAAGUCAGUUGUGAAAGUUUGCGGCUCAACCGUAAAAUUGCAGUUGAAACUGGAAGUCUUGAGUACAGUAGAGGUGGGCGGAAUUCGCGGUGUAGCGGUGAAAUGCGUAGAGAUCACGAAGAACUCCGAUUGCGAAGGCAGCUCACUGGACUGCAACUGACACUGAGGCUCGAAAGUGUGGGUAUCAAACAGGAUUAGAUACCCGUGUAGUC
rnacentral:rRNA from 1 species